CAAUGCCAGCCAGCUCCAAGAUGGACCCACUACUGGCCAAGGCCAAGCUGAUGUACUUAAGCCACCUUAAAAAGGCCACAAACGUCUUGUGUAACAGGAUAGCCUUUGUAUAUACAAGGCAUGCCUUGCUAACACCUGUGCCCCUGAAGGAGAACUAAAAGACUGAUAUGAAGGGAACAUCCUACCCCAGGAGGCACCGAAAGUAGAAUAAUUGCUAAUAGGCAUGAAGUCAGCAAAGACCUUCAGUAACUGGGGGAAAGGUAUGAGGUGUGCUACCUUUGUGGAUUACCACCCAGCCCCCAUCUUUGCGCAAACAUGACUUGGAAUAAAAUACCUCUGCUCUG